rnacentral:rRNA from 1 species
AUUGCCCUAGUAACGGCGAGUGAAGCGGCAACAGCUCAAAUUUGAAAUCUGGCUCUCUUUGGGGGUCCGAGUUGUAAUUUGCAGAGGAUGCUUUGGCAUUGGCGGCGGUCUAAGUUCCUUGGAACAGGACAUCACAGAGGGUGAGAAUCCCGUACGUGGUCGCCUGCCUUUGCCGUGUAAAGCUCCUUCGACGAGUCGAGUUGUUUGGGAAUGCAGCUCUAAAUGGGAGGUAAAUUUCUUCUAAAGCUAAAUACCGGCCAGAGACCGAUAGCGCACAAGUAGAGUGAUCGAAAGAUGAAAAGUACUUUGGAAAGAGAGUCAAAAAGCACGUGAAAUUGUUGAAAGGGAAGCGCUUGCAGCCAGACUUGCCCGCAGUUGCUCACCUAGGCUUUGGCCUGGGGCACUCUUCUGCGGGCAGGCCAGCAUCAGUUUGGGCGGUUGGAUAAAGGCCUCUGUCACGUAUCUUCCUUCGGGAUGACCUUAUAGGGGAGGCGUAAUGCAACCAGCCCGGACUGAGGUCCGCGCAUCUGCUAGGAUGCUGGCGUAAUGGCUGUAAGCGGCCCGUCUUGAAACACGGACCAAGGAGUCUAACAUCUAUGCGAGUGUUUGGGUGUCAAGCCCGGGCGCGCAAUGAAAGUGAACGGAGGUGGGAACCCUUUGGGUGCACCAUCGACCGAUCCUGAUGUCUUCGGAUGGAUUUGAGUAAGAGCAUAGCUGUUGGGACCCGAAAGAUGGUGAACUAUGCUUGAAUAGGGUGAAGCCAGAGGAAACUCUGGUGGAGGCUCGCAGCGGUUCUGACGUGCAAAUCGAUCGUCAAAUUUGGGCAUAGGG